AGAUUCACGUACAAUGUAAAUUUGAACUUGCUAUGCUAUGUCUAAUGUGAAUUUAGUUCAACUUCUAUUGUUCAUAAUACUCCAACUCCUGAAGAGGUAUAUUCGACAUUUGUUCUAUCCUCCUUUUUGUUAUGUCCAAAAAUAUGUGGAGGAGAUGGACUACAGUCAUUUCUGACUACUUUUGGAACUGCUACAGUUCUUAUGGAAGACACUGGUGAAGAAUUUGUUCAUCUUGGGAGGAACAGACCUUCACUGAGGUUGCAAGAAUAGAGGCAUGGAAUCAGAUUUCUUGCAUUUUAAACAUACAGUGUUCUCUAACUAGCUGAACAGAAAAUAAUUAUAAGCUGGAAGUCUUCGAGCAAGCAAGAUUGGUAAAUGAGAAGAAACUUGAUUUGGGACCAAGUUUGUGGUACUCAACAAGAGAAGAUCAGCAAAUACUGAACCCCUUGCAUUCAAAUCCAAACAUCAGUAACUACAGUUGCACCGUGCAUACUGUGCAGUAGACGACAGAUAUCUUCAAAUAAUUUUAGAAGGCUGAGGGAUGACGAGUGCAGUUUAUGUGAAUUUGUGCCUCUUUUGGGGAACAUGGUGUCCAUUGAAUCACUGCAGUUAUUUUUUGUCAUGAAAACCAAAGAGUACUCCAGAAGGAUUAAUGAUAUAUUGUGAAGAUCAAGUAAGGUUUCUCAAGGGGUGUGCACUAAGAGAUGUGCGUAGACAGACCUGAAUCAUCAUCUAUUAGCUGCCUAGCUUGUCGAAGAGGAAGGUUGGGGAGCCCAAUAAGGAGGAAAAUGUAACUCUUGGACCUGCGGUGGAGAGAACUUUUUUGGCGUUGAUACUCAUAUUUAUGCAUCCACUCUUUGAGUGAUCCCUUCAUUUUUGUGAUGGACUUGCAAAUGCUACCAAGCAUGCUUGCAGCACAGUAUGUAUCUACAUGGUGCAAGAUGCUUGCAUAUAGAGCUCAGGGCUGCUAGUCCAGGUGCUGAAUCAGCAAUGCGAGCACUUGAUCUUGCUGACGUGCCCAAUUUCCACCAACUGUAGCCACUGAAAGCUUGGUGGGCACUCUGGGACAUAUAUAGAAGGUUGACAUUUCUCAAAUGUGAGGUUUCAGAUGUUGCUCUCAUUUCUCGUACAUUUGGGUUUGGUUGGAGGUGAAACCAAUUCUGUCUCAAAGUUGCAAAGAUAGGCAAGGCCCGGACUGGUCCAAGAUUUCUCACAUCCCAAACAUCAAAAUUGAUCGCAAAAUUGUACAAAAAGAUGGAGUCUAGAUUUGAUCGCCCA